ensembl:miRNA
UGGCCGGGCGUGGUGGUGGGAGCCUGUAGUCCCAGCUACUCAGGAGGCUGAG